UGGAACCACAGGCAUAGGCCACCACACUUGGUACACAAAGAACUCUUGAAUCCCCUUUUAUCAUUUUCUGAACCAUUUGAGAGCAAGCUGCAAUCAUAAGAUCCAGCACCUCUAAACACUCCAGAAUAUAUUUUUAGAUAUAACCCUGUAAUGGCUGAAAAGUGUUCCCCCCAAAUUCACAUCCUCCUGAAACCUCAGAAUGUGACCUUAUUUUGAAAUAGGGUCAUUACAGAUGUAAUGAAGGAUCUCCAAUUGAAUCCGUCCAAGGAUUAAGGUGGGCCCUGAAUCCCAUAGACUGGUGUCCUCAUAAGAAAAGGUGAGGACAAAGAGAGACACAGAGACACACAGAUAGCUAUGUGAAGAUGGAAGCAGAGGUUGGGGAUCUGCUGCCACAAACAAAGGCACCCCAAGUAUUGCCAGCAACCACCAGAAGCAAGGAGAAAGGCAUGGGACGCUUUCUCCAUCAGAGUCUCCGGAAGGAACCAAGCUUACUGACACCUUGAUUUUGGACUUCUAGCCCCCAGAACUUCAAGAUAAUACAUUUCUGUUGUUUAAAGCCAUGUGGUUUGUGGUAAUUUGUUAUGACAGUGCUAGAAAACUUAUACAAACCCUCCAAGGCAGAAAUAAACAUGGGCACAACACUGCUACCCAAUCCACAGAUCCCAUUCAAAUUUUGCUGGCUCAGCCCAUCAUGUCUCUUUUCCCUUUCAGGUCCAGGAUCCAGUCCAGGAGCAUGCAUUACAUUUAGUUGUCACAUGUCCGAAUAGAAGGAAGGAGAUUCCCUUCAAUAUGGAAUAAUUUCUUAGUCUUUCCCUGUCUUCCACAUCCUUCCGUUUUUUGUUUUUGUUUUUAUUUUGAGACAGUCUCACUCUGUCACCCAGGCUGGAGUACAGUGGGGUGAUCAUGGCUCACUAUAGCCUUGACUUCUCCAGGCUCAGGUGAUCCUCCUACCUCAGCCUCCUGAGUAUCUGGGACUACAGGCGUGUGCCACCACACUCGGCUAAUUUUUGCUUUUUUUUGUAGAACAGAGUUUCAAGUUGCUCAGGCUGGUCUCAAACUCCUGGGCUCAAGUGAUCCACCCACCUUGGCCUCCCAAAGUGCUGGGAUUACAGGCACGACCCACUGCAACUGGCCCCACAUCCUUCAGUUUUUAAGAGUGCAGGCCUUUUGUUAUGUAGGAUGGCCCUAGACCUGGUUCCAUCUAAUAUUUCAUUUUGGUCAGACCUCGCCAUGAUUUCUUGACAGGAAAAUGAUGGACAGGAUCCUGGGCUCUGCACAUUACAGCAUAUGAUGUGGUCUUGUCUCAUCACUGGUGAUGUUAAUCUUGAUUGCUUGGUCAUGUUGGUGUCUUCCAUAUUUCUCCUCCAUUGAGUCACCAUUUUCACCUUUGCAAUUGAUAAGCAUUUUGUGGGGAGAUUUUCUAAAAUUAUGCUAAAAUCCUGAUCCUUAACAACUUCUACCCAUCAGCCUUAAUAUUUGUGGAUGAUCCCUAUCUGAAUAAAUUAUAACCAUAAUAGUGUCAUAUGGUGGUUUGCUAUUUUCAUCAUUCCUUCUACAUUAAUUACUUGGUAUUCUACUGUAAGAAAGAAGUUCCACUGCUUCCUCUAUUUAUUUACUUAUUUAUUCAUUUAUUUAGUAGUAUGAAUUUCAAUUUAACAGGUUAAAAACCAUGCUUGUUCUUUGUGAAAGUAUAUAACGUUAUUAUCUUUAUCAGAGAAGAAAUGGUUCUGAACUUCUCAAGAAAGUAUACAAGCAGUAUAAAAAUGAGAUAAUUACACUUACUUAACAUACCUUAUUUUCAUCCAAAUAAACACGAAAAGAAUCCAACAUGAUAUUUGAAAUUCUACCAUAGGGUAUUUUACUAGAAAAAUAGAAUCUUGUGUUUUUGGUAAUGUUUGUUCAUAUCACAAAAUUACUGAGAAGCGAAACAUUUCUAAAUUCACAUUAGAACAUUGUAAUUCACAUUUGUGUUAGAAUGAUGGUUACCAGAGUCUGGGAAGGGUAGUGGAGUAGUAGAAUGGGGGAUGGUUAUUGGAUAUGAAAAUAUAGUUAGUUAGAAUGAAUAAGAUCUAGUAUUUGAUAGCACAACAGGGUAACUACAGUCAACAAUAAUUUAUUGUACAUUUAAAAAUAACUAUAAGACUAUAAUUAGAUUGUAACACAAAGAAAGGAUAAAUGUUUGAAGUGAUAGAUACCCCAUUUAUCCUGAUGUGAUUAUUACACAUUGUAUGCUUGUAUCAAAAUAUCUCAUGUACGCCAUACAUAUAUAUGCCUACUGUGUACUCACAAAAAUUAAAAAUUGUAAAAAUAAAUAAACAAAACAAAACAAAAU
rnacentral:lncRNA from 10 species